rnacentral:sRNA from 1 species
ACUAAUUUAUUUUUCGAGUUGCCUGUUUAGAACUAGGAAUGUUAGAUUUAAUUUGCCAACAACCGCGUCGGGUGACAUUAGAGAGAGCCGACCUAUUAUUUUUUACGUAUCUGUUGGACUGGUGACCAACAUGGGACAUUGGAGCCAUUGGGCUAGCUACGUCUCGUGUCUAUGUGUUCUUACAGCAGAUUUGUUUGUGCUUCAAGGCCAGUCGUCGGUGAUCAGACAUAGGAGAGAUGG